UACGUAGGGGGCAAGCGUUGUCCGGAUUUAUUGGGCGUAAAGGGUGCGUAGGUGGCGCUGUAAGUCGGGUGUGAAAUUUCGGAGCUUAACUCCGAAACUGCAUUCGAUACUGCGGUGCUUGAGGACUGGAGAGGAGACUGGAAUUCAUGGUGUAGCAGUGAAAUGCGUAGAGAUCAUGAGGAAGACCAGUGGCGAAGGCGGGUCUCUGGACAGUUCCUGACACUGAGGCACGAAGGCCAGGGGAGCAAACGGG
rnacentral:rRNA from 1 species